rnacentral:rRNA from 1 species
ACUCAAAUGAAUUGACGGGGGCCCGCACAAGCGGCGGAGCAUGUGGCUUAAUUCGAUGCAACGCGAAGAACCUUACCUAGGCUUGACAUGCAGAGUAAAGCGGGUGAAAGCCCGUGUCCUUUUGGGCUCUGCACAGGUGCUGCAUGGCUGUCGUCAGCUCGUGCCGUGAGGUGUUGGCUUAAGUGCCGCAACGAGCGCAACCCCUGCUUUUAGUUGCCAGCGGGUAAUGCCGGGGACUCUAAAAGGACUGCCGGGGACAACUCGGAGGAAGGUGGGGAUGACGUCAAGUCCGCAUGGCCCUUAUGUCUAGGGCUGCACACAUGCUACAUUGCGCGCUACAAAGGGCUGCGAUACCGCAAGGUGGAGCGAAUCCCAAAAAAGCGCGCCUGGUUCGGAUUGGGGUCUGCAACUCGACCCCAUGAAGUCGGAGUCGCUAGUAAUCGCAGAUCAGCAACGCUGCGGUGAAUACGUUCCCGGGCCUUGUACACACCGCCCGU